AUUGAACGCUGGCGGCAGGCCUAACACAUGCAAGUCGAGCGGAUGAAGGGAGCUUGCUCCUGGAUUCAGCGGCGGACGGGUGAGUAAUGCCUAGGAAUCUGCCUGGUAGUGGGGGAUAACGUCCGGAAACGGGCGCUAAUACCGCAUACGUCCUGAGGGAGAAAGUGGGGGAUCUUCGGACCUCACGCUAUCAGAUGAGCCUAGGUCGGAUUAGCUAGUUGGUGGGGUAAAGGCCUACCAAGGCGACGAUCCGUAACUGGUCUGAGAGGAUGAUCAGUCACACUGGAACUGAGACACGGUCCUGACUCCUACGGGAGGCAGCAGUGGGGAAGAUUGGACGAUGGGCGAAAGCCUGAUCCAGCCAUGCCGCGUGUGUGAAGAAGGUCUUCGGAUUGUAAAGCACUUUAAGUUGGGAGGAAGGGCAGUAAGUUAAUACCUUGCUGUGUUGACGUUACCAACAGAAUAAGCACCGGCUAACUUCGUG
rnacentral:rRNA from 1 species